rnacentral:rRNA from 1 species
AUGAUGGGAGGUGGGCUGCUGAUGGAUCAGGGCAUGGCGUUCUCCGGCGUGCACAACUUCGUGGAUCUGCUCCAGCAGAACGGCGCCGACAAGAACCUCGGCUUCGGCUCCCUUAUGCCGCAGACAUCCUCCGGCGACCAGUGCGUCAUGGGCGAGGGCGACCUCGUGGACCCCCCCACGAACAACUUCCCGGACGCCGGUGAGGACGACAGCGACGACGAUGUGGAUGACAUCGAGGAGCUGGAGCGCCGCAUGUGGCGCGACCGCAUGAAGCUCAAGCGCCUCAAGGAGCUGCAGCAGAGCCGCGGCAAGGAGCAGGCCGCCGGCGGCGGCGGGGCUGGCGACGGACUGAAGCCGCGGCAGUCGCAGGAGCAGGCGCGCCGCAAGAAGAUGUCGCGCGCGCAGGACGGCAUCCUCAAGUACAUGCUCAAGAUGAUGGAGGUGUGCCGCGCCCAGGGGUUCGUCUACGGCAUCAUUCCGGAGAAGGGCAAGCCCGUGAGCGGCGCCUCUGACAACCUCCGUGCCUGGUGGAAGGAGAAGGUCCGCUUCGACCGGAACGGCCCGGCCGCCAUCGCCAAGUACCAGGCCGACAACGCCGUGCCGGGCUCCGAGAGCGAGCUGGCUUCCGGCACCGCCAGCCCGCACUCGCUGCAGGAGCUGCAGGACACCACGCUGGGCUCGCUGCUCUCGGCGCUCAUGCAGCACUGCGAUCCACCGCAGCGAAGGUUCCCGCUCGAGAAGGGCAUCUCUCCUCCAUGGUGGCCGUCCGGCGACGAGGAGUGGUGGCCGGAGCUUGGCAUCCCCAAGGACCAGGGCCCGCCCCCGUACAAGAAGCCCCAUGACCUGAAGAAGGCCUGGAAGGUCAGCGUGCUCACCGCUGUCAUCAAGCACAUGUCGCCGGACAUCGAGAAGAUCCGGCGCCUCGUUCGCCAGUCCAAAUGCCUCCAGGACAAGAUGACCGCCAAGGAGAUCUCCACCUGGCUGGCCGUGGUGAAGCAGGAAGAGGAGCUGUUCAUGAGGCUGCACCCGGGCGUUCGCCCUCCAGCGUCUGCCGGCGGCAUCGCCAGUGCCAUAUCAUUCAACGCCAGCUCGAGUGAGUACGACGUUGACCUCGCCGACGACUGCAAGGGCGAUGAGGCCGGCACCCACAAGAUGGCCAUGGACGAUCCAACCGCCUUCAACCUCGGCGCGGCCAUCCUGAAUGACAAGUUCCUCAUGCAAGCGCCCAUGAAAGAGGAGACCGGCGAUAUGGAGUAUGUCCAGAAGAGGAGCGCGGUGGCCGCCGAGCCGGAGCUGAUGCUGAACAACCGCGUCUACACCUGCAACAACGUCCAGUGCCCACACAGCGACUACGGGUACGGCUUCCUUGACCGGAAUGCGCGCAACAGCCACCGGUACACCUGCAAGUACAAUGAUCCCCUCCCGCCAAGCGCGGAGAACAAGGCAACGCCACCUGCGCCGCCGCAAGUCUUCCCGGCAGCCUACAACCAGCAGUUCUUCAUCGGUGACGACGCGCAGGCGCAGUUCGGCAACCAGAUGGGCAGCAUCUCCGGCGCAUCGGAUUUCAGGUUCGGCUCUGGCUUCAACAUGUCUGGCACCGUCGACUACCCGCAGAAGAACGACGGCCCCAACUGGUACUACUGA